GAAGAGCACUCCUACGGGAGGCAGCAUUGGGGAAUAUUGCACAAUGGGCGCAAGCCUGAUGCAGCCAUGCCGCGUGUAUGAAGAAGGCCUUCGGGUUGUAAAGUACUUUCAGCAGUGAGGAAGGUGGAUAUGUUAAUAGCAUAUUCAUUUGACGUUAGCUGCAGAAGAAGCACCGGCUAACUCCGUGCCAGCAGCCGCGGUAAUACGGAGGGUGCGAGCGUUAAUCGGAAUUACUGGGCGUAAAGCGCAUGCAGGUGGUUUGUUAAGUCAGAUGUGAAAGCCCGGGGCUCAACCUCGGAAUUGCAUUUGAAACUGGCAAACUAGAGUACUGUAGAGGGGGUAGAAUUUCAGGUGUAGCGGUGAAAUGCGUAGAGAUCUGAAGGAAUACCGGUGGCGAAGGCGGCCCCCUGGACAGAUACUGACACUCAGAUGCGAAAGCGUGGGGAGCAAACAGGAUUAGAUACCCUGGUAG
rnacentral:rRNA from 1 species